rnacentral:lncRNA from 1 species
AUUGUGACAUCAUAAUGACAGGUUAGCCCACAUAAAAUAAAUAAACUGACACAUUUAAUUAAAUGUGGGCAUUUUUCUGUGACGCAAUUUGACAGUUUGGCUCAUUCAUACCAGCAACAUCCAAUCACAGGUCUCGAUUCUCUUCUGUUGUACUGUAGAGGAUUCUACCACCGGAUUACCGGGGGGUACUGUGUAGUUGAAGAUUUAUUGCAUAAGAGGGAAGCAAUAAUUCAUCGGACUGGGCUGUAUCAGCAGCGCGUGCAGCCCUCCCCUCUUCUACGUCACAUCUUCCCCCGUGCAGCCUCUACGGGUUGCUAUGACGACGGUGUUGCAGCUCGUCCCUGAAGGCUGAACUCAGCGCCUCUACACUUCUGUUUGGGAAAACUCUGUCGACCAGAAAGAUCACAACGAUAGGUAGCAGCAGAUGUGAGUGAAUGGUGCUUUCUGAUAUGGAAAUAGUGAUUCAAAGCCAUUUAAAAUGCAACAAGGACGACAGAUUGCUCCCUUUUGAUAUCACCAUGAAGCACAUUUGUUAACUACAUAAUGUCAACCUUAAAAGAAGUGGAUGACACAGCUGUGAACGGAUCAGACGAGGAGCUUCCGACAUGGGGGGAAACAGUUGGAGAGCAGACACCAGAGAGGAGACAUGCUGAUGCCCUUUUAGCUUUUAGUGAGGAAGCCUCCAUGAAAGAACGGGAGCCCUUUGAGUAUCAUUGUUACUCUGGUUGGGAAGAAGCUGUCCGUGGUUGGGCCAGAGUUGCUCCGAUGAGCUGCAUACUGUUGAAUGAUAAGAAGUACAGGAAACCAAAGCAUAAGGAGGCCGACAACCCAACCCUCUUGUAUGCGGAGCGAGCGAUCCCUGUUGCAGACAUCUCAGCCAACAUAGCAGAGCACCAGUGUGAGUCUCACGUGAGCCCCCAUAACAUCUUUAAGAAACCCAUGCCAUUAAACCAGCAAACAAACCAUGAGACGGGAUCCUGGAGCAACGCUGCUGCGGAAUUGGCUGCCCUCAAUGUAAUGCAGAAAACCAUGUCUAAUCUGUUACUCAAAGACAAGACAGAGGAGGUGGAAGGGACGCUCAGAGAGACCCCUUUGCAGUCUCACUAUGCCCUCUCAAAAUACUUGGAGAUCAGGCCGACUAAGCCUCAGAAACACAGGCACAGGCCCAAUAAUAUGAUGGUUCCCAUUACAAACUUGACAUUUCUACCACCAAUUCUACCAGCACAUCUGAAUCCUCAGAAAGUCUGUGGCCACUCCUGCAGCGGCAAGAAGGCUCCUCAAGGAGAAACCAUGGAGGAAAACUGUUUGAUGUUUGAUAAGAAGAGCGGGACAAGAGGAACUAGAGUGGACUCUAUCGCUAACCCAGAACUUCCAACUUACUCUGCAGCCCUGAGCUCCAAGUACCGGACAUGUCAGCAUAACCCCUACUUGUUCUCGGCUGCGAGUGUCUCUACACAAGUACCGGCGUCUUCCAAACCUGACACAGUGCACGGCACUAGCUACUCAACGGGCAAGAGCCUCACGCAGGACCUCCACUCCAGCACUGCAGCAGGUGCACAAGCUCAUACGCAGCACAGCAAGACUGUGUGA